UACGGAGGUGACAAGCGUUGUCCGGAUUUACUGGGCGUAAAGAGCGCGCAGGCGGUCGUGCAAGUCGAGUGUGAAAGCCCCCGGCUCAACUGGGGAGGGUCAUUCGAUACUGAUCGACUCGAAGGCAGGAGAGGGAAGUGGAAUUCCCGGUGUAGUGGUGAAAUGCGUAGAUAUCGGGAGGAACACCAGUGGCGAAGGCGACUUCCUGGCCUGUUCUUGACGCUGAGGCGCGAAAGCUAGGGGAGCAAACGGG
rnacentral:rRNA from 1 species